UGUUUGCACGUGCACUGUGGCAUUUAAGCGAUGCCAAAUGGGGGCCAAAGGGCGCCUCACCCCUCUCUCUCUCUUUCCAUGCUCUCUCUCUUUCUCGCUCUGAUAUCACACAAACACAAAUACAAACACUAAAACAAAAGCGCGGGAGUUGUUUUGCUCUUGUUGUACUGCUCUGACUUGCUAUUGCUGUUGCAUUUUUGCAUGUGCAUUUGAUGUUAGUUUUUAUUGUUAUUGCAUUUGCGAUUUCGAGGUGCAUGGCAAGACCUCAACUAAGGCUAAAUUUGUUGUGUUGUUGUGACUGUUGUUGUUUAGUUGUAGUUGUGUUUGUUUGUGUAUUAGUGUGCGUGUGUGCGAUAAUAGUGCGCUAUAGGCGCUGCCGCAUUUGGGGGCUAUUGAGAUAGGCGCGCGAUUUGAUCAAUGCAGCUCAAACUAUAAAAGCCUUGGGGCGGCAUUAAGUGCGGCGCGUGUAGCAGUUUGACAGGCGUUACAGUGAUACUCAAACGGUAGGCGGCAAUUUACAGUUCUAAUGCGACAGAUGCUUCGAGUAAAAAUUAUUACAGAAUAAAAAUAACUGCUGGCGCAUUCCAUUCAGCAUGAGGGAGACAGAGACAGAUAGAGCGAGAGGACAGAAUUUUGGGCAUGAAGUUCGAGUGAACGUACUCGCACUCACAGUUGGCCGCGUCAAUGCACGCUGACGCAGCCGCAGACGCCGCCGUCACCGUCGCAGCGCUAAAGCAAUGACACUGAUCCUGGCGUUGAACUCUGUCAAUGCAGUGCCACGCUUCCGGCGGUGGUGAGAGCAGAGGAGCAGGCGAGACAGAAAGAGAGAGAGUGAGAGAGACAGAGACGGAGACAGGGACAGACACACAGCAAGAAUAGCCACUACAAAAACAAAGCAGACAUCAAUUUCGGUUUCGUUUUCGCUGCUUUAUUCUACGGUUAGUUAGCCUCCAGUUUGAGUUGUUGUUAAUUAUUAUGCUCGAAGCUUUUUGGGCAAGGUCAUUAAGCAGCGCCAACAGCGACAGCAACAACAAGCAUUAAUAAAAUAA